rnacentral:rRNA from 1 species
UUGAACGCUGGCGGCAGGCCUAACACAUGCAAGUCGAACGGUAACAGGAAACAGCUUGCUGUUUCGCUGACGAGUGGCGGACGGGUGAGUAAUGUCUGGGAAACUGCCUGAUGGAGGGGGAUAACUACUGGAAACGGUAGCUAAUACCGCAUAACGUCGCAAGACCAAAGAGGGGGACCUUCGGGCCUCUUGCCAUCGGAUGUGCCCAGAUGGGAUUAGCUUGUUGGUGGGGUAACGGCUCACCAAGGCGACGAUCCCUAGCUGGUCUGAGAGGAUGACCAGCCACACUGGAACUGAGACACGGUCCAGACUCCUACGGGAGGCAGCAGUGGGGAAUAUUGCACAAUGGGCGCAAGCCUGAUGCAGCCAUGCCGCGUGUAUGAAGAAGGCCUUCGGGUUGUAAAGUACUUUCAGCGGGGAGGAAGGGAGUAAAGUUAAUACCUUUGCUCAUUGACGUUACCCGCAGAAGAAGCACCGGCUAACUCCGUGCCAGCAGCCGCGGUAAUACGGAGGGUGCAAGCGUUAAUCGGAAUUACUGGGCGUAAAGCGCACGCAGGCGGUUUGUUAAGUCAGAUGUGAAAUCCCCGGGCUCAACCUGGGAACUGCAUCUGAUACUGGCAAGCUUGAGUCUCGUAGAGGGGGGUAGAAUUCCAGGUGUAGCGGUGAAAUGCGUAGAGAUCUGGAGGAAUACCGGUGGCGAAGGCGGCCCCCUGGACGAAGACUGACGCUCAGGUGCGAAAGCGUGGGGAGCAAACAGGAUUAGAUACCCUGGUAGUCCACGCCGUAAACGAUGUCGACUUGGAGGUUGUGCCCUUGAGGCGUGGCUUCCGGAGCUAACGCGUUAAGUAGACCGCCUGGGGAGUACGGCCGCAAGGUUAAAACUCAAAUGAAUUGACGGGGGCCCGCACAAGCGGUGGAGCAUGUGGUUUAAUUCGAUGCAACGCGAAGAACCUUACCUGGUCUUGACAUCCACGGAAGUUUUCAGAGAUGAGAAUGUGCCUUCGGGAACCGUGAGACAGGUGCUGCAUGGCUGUCGUCAGCUCGUGUUGUGAAAUGUUGGGUUAAGUCCCGCAACGAGCGCAACCCUUAUCCUUUGUUGCCAGCGGUCCGGCCGGGAACUCAAAGGAGACUGCCAGUGAUAAACUGGAGGAAGGUGGGGAUGACGUCAAGUCAUCAUGGCCCUUACGACCAGGGCUACACACGUGCUACAAUGGCGCAUACAAAGAGAAGCGACCUCGCGAGAGCAAGCGGACCUCAUAAAGUGCGUCGUAGUCCGGAUUGGAGUCUGCAACUCGACUCCAUGAAGUCGGAAUCGCUAGUAAUCGUGGAUCAGAAUGCCACGGUGAAUACGUUCCCGGGCCUUGUACACACCGCCCGUCACACCAUGGGAGUGGGUUGCAAAAGAAGUAGGUAGCUUAACCUUCGGGAGGGCGCUUACCACUUUGUGAUUCAUGACUGGGGUG